rnacentral:rRNA from 1 species
AGAGUUUGAUCAUGGCUCAGAUUGAACGCUGGCGGCAUGCCUUACACAUGCAAGUCGAACGGCAGCGCGGGGGCAACCCUGGCGGCGAGUGGCGAACGGGUGAGUAAUACAUCGGAACGUGUCCUGGAGUGGGGGAUAGCCCGGCGAAAGCCGGAUUAAUACCGCAUACGAUCUAUGGAUGAAAGCGGGGGACCGAAAGGCCUCGCGCUCAAGGGGCGGCCGAUGGCAGAUUAGCUAGUUGGUGGGGUAAAGGCCUACCAAGGCGACGAUCUGUAGCUGGUCUGAGAGGACGACCAGCCACACUGGGACUGAGACACGGCCCAGACUCCUACGGGAGGCAGCAGUGGGGAAUUUUGGACAAUGGGGGCAACCCUGAUCCAGCAAUGCCGCGUGUGUGAAGAAGGCCUUCGGGUUGUAAAGCACUUUUGUCCGGAAAGAAAACCUCCGUCCUAAUACGGUGGGGGGAUGACGGUACCGGAAGAAUAAGCACCGGCUAACUACGUGCCAGCAGCCGCGGUAAUACGUAGGGUGCAAGCGUUAAUCGGAAUUACUGGGCGUAAAGCGUGCGCAGGCGGUUCGCUAAGACCGAUGUGAAAUCCCCGGGCUUAACCUGGGAACUGCAUUGGUGACUGGCGGGCUAGAGUAUGGCAGAGGGGGGUAGAAUUCCACGUAGCAGUGAAAUGCGUAGAGAUGUGGAGGAAUACCGAUGGCGAAGGCAGCCCCCUGGGCCAAUACUGACGCUCAUGCACGAAAGCGUGGGGAGCAAACAGGAUUAGAUACCCUAGUAGUCC